rnacentral:rRNA from 1 species
AUGGACGCCGUCGCGUUCCCGCCGCCUCCGGCCCCUUUCCUCGACGACGACUUCGAUUUCGGGGACUUCGCUUUCGCCCCUGCUGCGCCCCAGCCUGCACCUCUGGCUCCGCAGCCGGCUACUUUUGCGGCCUUCGACGACGACUGGGGCGACUUUGUGGCGAGCUCCCUCGGAUUCAGCCCGGAUGGCCUGUCCGCACCCGCCAUCCCGCCUACGGGCAAGCCAGCCGCCGGCGCCUGGGAGAAGCCCCGGGGCCCGCUCCCCUUAUCCCUGUUUGGAGCCGAUGACAAGGAGGAGGAGGAGGAGAAGGAUGAAGUGCCUGUCGGGCCGCCGCCGCCCACGUCCACGGUGCACCAGCGGGCACCGUCGUUCGGAUCCAAAGCCUCGAGCCCCGCGGAUCUCAAGGACCUCAUCGUCGGCCUCUACGGAUCUCAGCCUCCGCCCACCCCCGACGCACCACAGCCGGGUGCGCUGGAGGAGGUGGACGAUGACGGGUUUGGAGAUGACGGUUGGGAAUUCAAGGCUGCCCCCUCGUCUGAUGCCGGCCAGGAUGGAGCCGGACAAGCGGACGGAGGUGGAAUUGAGGGUAUGCCAAAAUCAUUGGGCAGCGACCAGAAAGAUUGGUCACUAUUUACUGGUGUCAAUAAUGAACUGAACCUCCAGACUACAGAUCAUGUCAGAAAUCAUGAGUCCACAGGACAAAGUGUGAAGACCUUCAGCUAUUCUCCAGAUAAUAGUUCAUCCAUACUCAACUUGUACAAAGAAUCUAAAUUUGUCGAUGCUGUUCAAGUUCCUCAAAGUUGUUCCGAAAGUGUAGUCAGCUCUUCUGAUAUGUUCUCUAACAAUGAAGUGAACUCUUCGUUUGGAACAGAUGAAAACCAUUCCAUUAAAUCAGGAAGCGACAAUAUUUUGGUUGAUUUCUACCAUAAGCUGAGAGAAGAAUCCAUGGCAAUGAUAUUCCGGUAUAAUAAGGAUAUUAAGGAGGCCCAGAAGAGUUCUGCACAUUCUGAUGGAAACAAAAAAGAGACAGCAAUCGAAAGGGAGAUCCAGGAAAUCUGGGAGAAACUACGAGAUUCUUCGCUGGCAGAAGGAUUUCGCAUUGAGGAACAGCCUUCGAGGGAUGAGAGUAUUUCUGGACUGCUUAACAGUACCAAAGAGGAACACAUAAAGGAUUUUGAGCAGCACUAUCAUUUAGCAGAGAAAAUAGCACUGGCACAGCAUGACAUGAGUUUGGCAGUUGAACUUUACAAGCAUAGUGUGUCAACCCUACAUACCUUAGGACUAGCAUCCAAAGAGGAGCAAUGUGAUUAUGUCGCCGCAUGGUACAGUAUGUUUCUUUCCUGUGCUCAGGAAUUGCAGCAUGGAGCAGUGCUUUGGCAAGAAUCUUGUCAUGCGAAAGUCCAUGAUCUAGUAGUUUCUGAAGGUGCAAAUUGGUUUGUUGCUCUUGGGGAGAUCUACAGAGUUGCACACCUCUUGCAUUUGUCAUUGCAGUAUUUCAAGCCUUGGGUUCUUGCGGAUCCCGGGAUGUUUAGUAAAAUGUUGGCUUGUUGGGACAGCUGCAUUAAUGCAUGGACUAGUGGUUUAGAAACAGCUCUUAAAACAGUUGUUGACAGCAAUCACUUAGCUGCACCCGCUGGUAAAGCUCUUCUGGAGUCCAUCAUCAGUAUUAAUGAACUUGAAGUGGCCAAUUUUCAACAUUGUCUUGCCAACAACGAGUUGACAUGCCGACUAACACUUCUGCCAACUGGUCUUCUACAAGGAGGGGAAGUGGUUGUGUGGAACGGUAAUCACUAUUUUGUUAAAGUUGCCAAUUUUUGGGCAAAUCGGGUAUCUUCGGACCCUCCUCGGCUUUCACUCGUUCACAUCUCUUCAAUGGACAGUACAAGCAAUAGCUGCCUGCCUUGUUGA